AGAGUUUGAUCCUGGCUCAGGACGAACGCUGGCGGCGUGCCUAAUACAUGCAAGUCGAACGAACUCUGGUAUUGAUUGGUGCUUGCAUCAUGAUUUACAUUUGAGUGAGUGGCGAACUGGUGAGUAACACGUGGGAAACCUGCCCAGAAGCGGGGGAUAACACCUGGAAACAGAUGCUAAUACCGCAUAACAACUUGGACCGCAUGGUCCGAGCUUGAAAGAUGGCUUCGGCUAUCACUUUUGGAUGGUCCCGCGGCGUAUUAGCUAGAUGGUGGGGUAACGGCUCACCAUGGCAAUGAUACGUAGCCGACCUGAGAGGGUAAUCGGCCACAUUGGGACUGAGACACGGCCCAAACUCCUACGGGAGGCAGCAGUAGGGAAUCUUCCACAAUGGACGAAAGUCUGAUGGAGCAACGCCGCGUGAGUGAAGAAGGGUUUCGGCUCGUAAAACUCUGUUUGUAAAGAAGAACAUAUCUGAGAGUAACUGUUCAGGUAUUGACGGUAUUUAACCAGAAAGCCACGGCUAACUACGUGCCAGCAGCCGCGGUAAUACGUAGGUGGCAAGCGUUGUCCGGAUUUAUUGGGCGUAAAGCGAGCGCAGGCGGUUUUUUAAGUCUGAUGUGAAAGCCUUCGGCUCAACCGAAGAAGUGCAUCGGAAACUGGGAAACUUGAGUGCAGAAGAGGACAGUGGAACUCCAUGUGUAGCGGUGAAAUGCGUAGAUAUAUGGAAGAACACCAGUGGCGAAGGCGGCUGUCUGGUCUGUAACUGACGCUGAGGCUCGAAAGUAUGGGUAGCAAACAGGAUUAGAUACCCUGGUAGUCCAUACCGUAAACGAUGAAUGCUAAGUGUUGGAGGGUUUCCGCCCUUCAGUGCUGCAGCUAACGCAUUAAGCAUUCCGCCUGGGGAGUACGGCCGCAAGGCUGAAACUCAAAGGAAUUGACGGGGGCCCGCACAAGCGGUGGAGCAUGUGGUUUAAUUCGAAGCUACGCGAAGAACCUUACCAGGUCUUGACAUACUAUGCAAAUCUAAGAGAUUAGACGUUCCCUUCGGGGACAUGGAUACAGGUGGUGCAUGGUUGUCGUCAGCUCGUGUCGUGAGAUGUUGGGUUAAGUCCCGCAACGAGCGCAACCCUUAUUAUCAGUUGCCAGCAUUAAGUUGGGCACUCUGGUGAGACUGCCGGUGACAAACCGGAGGAAGGUGGGGAUGACGUCAAAUCAUCAUGCCCCUUAUGACCUGGGCUACACACGUGCUACAAUGGAUGGUACAACGAGUUGCGAACUCGCGAGAGUAAGCUAAUCUCUUAAAGCCAUUCUCAGUUCGGAUUGUAGGCUGCAACUCGCCUACAUGAAGUCGGAAUCGCUAGUAAUCGCGGAUCAGCAUGCCGCGGUGAAUACGUUCCCGGGCCUUGUACACACCGCCCGUCACACCAUGAGAGUUUGUAACACCCAAAGUCGUAACAAGGUAGCCGUA
rnacentral:rRNA from 2 species